CACGUAGGAGGCGAGCGUUGUCCGGAAUCAUUGGGCGUAAAGAGCGCGCAGGCGGCUUGGCAAGUCGGGUGUGAAAUCCCGGGGCUCAACCCCGGGACUGCAUUCGAUACUGUCAGGCUAGAGGUAGGUAGGGGAGAUCGGAAUUCCUGGUGUAGCGGUGAAAUGACGCAGAUAUCAGGAGGAACACCGGUGGCGAAGGCGGAUCUCUGGGCCUUACCUGACGCUCAGGCGCGAAAGCUAGGGGAGCGAACAGG
rnacentral:rRNA from 1 species